rnacentral:tRNA from 1 species
AGAGAAAGAUGGUGAGUUACAAAAGGUAUAAUUUUACUCUUUGCUGUUAAUUUUAAAAAACAAAAUAAUAAUAAGCUAUUCUAGUCUCGUAGCUCAGCUGGUUAGAGCGCUCCACUGAUAAUGUAGAGGUCGGCAGUUCGAGUCUGCCCGGGACUACAAAUAUGCUUAUAUUGUUUUCAAAGGAAAUUCUAGAAGUGGUUAUUCACCCAAAUUAGUCGGUCAUCGACUGCAGACUAAGAACUGUGGACUGCCUACUAUAGAAAAAGGGGGGAUUAGCUCAGCUGGCUAGAGCGCUUGCCUUGCACGCAAGAGGUCAUCGGUUCGACUCCGAUAUUCUCCACAAACGUUUAUACUUUUGUAUAAGCUGUAGCAUCAGGGUUUUACUUUGUUGCGCACAAAGUUCAUUGACAUAUUGGUAAAAUGAUAUCGUAAGAAUCAAAAAGAUAGAAACCGUUUAGAUUUAUCUAAACAAAAAAUAUAGAAUAAAAGAGUUCAUUGCAGUAUUUAUACUGCAGCAAAAAGUAC